CGGGUGAGUAACACGUGAGCAACCUGCCCCUGACUCUGGGAUAAGCGGUGGAAACGCCGUCUAAUACCGGAUACGACCCGCCACCUCAUGGUGGAGGGUGGAAAGUUUUUCGGUCAGGGAUGGGCUCGCGGCCUAUCAGCUUGUUGGUGGGGUAACGGCCUACCAAGGCGAUUACGGGUAGCCGGCCUGAGAGGGCGACCGGCCACACUGGGACUGAGACACGAUCAAGACUCCUGCGGGAGGCAGCAGUGGGGAAUAUUGCGCAAUGGGCGAAAGCCUGACGCAGCGACGCCGCGUGGGGGAUGACGGCCUUCGGGUUGUAAACCUCUUUUACCACCAACGCAGGCUCGAAGUUCUCUUCGGGUUGACGGUAGGUGGGGAAUAAGGACCGGCUAACUACGUGCCAGCAGCCGCGGUAAUACGUAGGGUCCGAGCGUUGUCCGGAAUUAUUGGGCGUAAAGAGCUCGUAGGCGGCGUGUCGCGUCUGCUGUGAAAGACCGGGGCUUAACUCCGGUUCUGCAGUGGAUACGGGCAUGCUAGAGGUAGGUAGGGGAGACUGGAAUUCCUGGUGUAGCGGUGAAAUGCGCAGAUAUCAGGAGGAACACCGGUGGCGAAGGCGGGUCUCUGGGCCUUACCUGACGCUGAGGAGCGAAAGCAUGGGGAGCGAACAGGAUUAGAUACCCUGGUAGUCCAUGCCGUAAACGUUGGGCGCUAGGUGUGGGGACUUUCCACGGGUUUCCGCGCCGUAGCUAACGCAUUAAGCGCCCGCCUGGGGAGUACGGCCGCAAGGCUAAAACUCAAAGGAAUUGACGGGGGCCCGCA
rnacentral:rRNA from 2 species